rnacentral:sRNA from 1 species
CGUGGGUUCGAUCCCCACAGACGGCGCAUAUAUUUCCUAAAUUUUU